rnacentral:rRNA from 1 species
AAAGCGAAGCAGUGAUGUGGAGCGAAACUCAAAAAAAUAAGUCUCAGUUCGGAUUGAAGGCUGAAAUUCGCCUUCAUGAAGCCGGAAUUGCUAGUAAUGGCAGGUCAGCAUACUGCCGUGAAUACGUUCCCGGGCCUUGUACACACCGCCCGUCACACCAUGAGAGUUGGGAAUACCCGAAGCCUGUGAGCUAACUUUUAGAGGCAGCAGUCGAAGGUAGAAUCAAUGAUUGGGGUGAAGUCGUAACAAGGUACC